rnacentral:rRNA from 1 species
CGGACGGGUGAGUGACACGUGGAUAACCUACCUAUAAGACUGGGAUAACUUCGGGAAACCGGAGCUAAUACCGGAUAAUAUAUUGAACCGCAUGGUUCAAUAGUGAAAGACGGUUUUGCUGUCACUUAUAGAUGGAUCCGCGCCGCAUUAGCUAGUUGGUAAGGUAACGGCUUACCAAGGCAGCGAUGCGUAGCCGACCUGAGAGGGUGAUCGGCCACACUGGAACUGAGACACGGUCCAG